CAGGGGCCUGGGGCCUACUCCUUGGAGCGCCCGGGCCAUGGAGGCCCUGCGGAGGGCCCACGAGUCUGUGCUGCGGCUGCUGCUGUGCAGGCCCUGGGCCUUGGAUACCGCCCCCCGCCCGAAGCCCCGCGCCUCGGAGGUGCUGACGCUGCACCUGCUGCAACGGCGCCUGCCGCACUGGACCUCCUUCUGCGUGCCUUACAGCGCGGUCCACAACGACCAGUUCGGCCUGUCCCACUUCAACUGGCCGGUGCUAGGCGCCAACUACCACAUCCUGCGCACUGGCUGCUUCCCCUUCAUCAAGUACCACUGCUCCAAGGCUCCUUGGCAGGACCUGGCCCCACAGAACCGCUUCUUCACGGCGCUCAAGGUCAUCAACCUGGGAGGACCCUGCCUUGUGCAGCGAGGAGCGAGUCAGGAAACGCCCCCACUUGGACAGUAGCUCUGAAGUUUCCUUAGCAGGAGUCAUUCCUGCGCUCUUCACUGGCAGGGAGCCUUUGGAGGACAUAAACAGGACGACUUUUAAAGUAUUCCAACUUUGUUAUAUGGACUUGGCUCCUGGUUAUUUGCCAGAGUCACAGAGACUGUUCAUACCAGUUACGGACCAAUAACAAUCUAUUUUCUAAAUAAAGAAGAUGAAGGUGCCAUGUAUUGAGAGUGUACAUUGGAAAAUACAAAUGUCAAUGAAUUUGUUC